AGCCACGGGUCGAUACGCGUUGUUUGCUGUGAUCGCGGACUGCCAAUGGCUCCUUAUAUUCGUUAUCGUUUAUUCGAUUAUACCUUACUACUUGGAUAACCGUGGUAAUUCUAGAGCUAAUACAUGCUAAAAAUCCCCACUUCCGAAUGGAUGAAUUUAUUAUAUUAUAAACCAAUGCCCUCUGGGCUCCUUGUAGAUUCAUAAUAACUUUUCCAAUCACACGGCCUUGUGCCGGCGAUGGUUCAUUCAAAUUUCUUCCCUAUCAACUUUCAUUUCUUGGGAUUUGUCCGAACAUGUGCGCAACUCGUAUCGGAUGUGUAGGGAUCAACCCCCCCUAAAGAACCUGACAUACCGCUACUACAUCCAAGGAAAGCCGCCUGCCCUGAAAUUACCCAAUCCCGAUUCGGGGAGGUAGUGACAAUAAAUACUGAUACUGGGAUCUUUUUACCCUUGCUAUUGAAAGGAGCACGAUUUAAAUCUAUUAACUACCAACACUUGGAUGUAAAGACUGGCCCAAAAAAAUCAAGGGACUUCUAUUGAGGCCCCGUAAUUGGAAUGAGUACAAUUUAAAUCCUUUAACGAGGAUCUAUUGGAGGGCAA
rnacentral:rRNA from 1 species